rnacentral:rRNA from 1 species
UUUAGAACGUCGUGAGACAGUUCGGUCCCUAUCUGCCGUGGGCGCUGGAGAACUGAGGGGGGCUGCUCCUAGUACGAGAGGACCGGAGUGGACGCAUCACUGGUGUUCGGGUUGUCAUGCCAAUGGCACUGCCCGGUAGCUAAAUGCGGAAGAGAUAAGUGCUGAAAGCAUCUAAGCACGAAACUUGCCCCGAGAUGAGUUCUCCCUGACCCUUUAAGGGUCCUGAAGGAACGUUGAAGACGACGACGUUGAUAGGCCGGGUGUGUAAGCGCAGCGAUGCGUUGAGCUAACCGGUACUAAUGAACCGUGAGGCUUAACCUU